UUAAGAAUAAAAACUAUUAAUGUUAAUAUUUCAAACUCUGUUACUAUUAAUUUAUAUUAUUAGGUGAUGUGUAGACGUCUUCUAUCUUUGCAGCUACAAUUUUCAUUACACGUAUUUCAAUAACUUUAUAGCUGUAACAAUUUUGGCUACACGAUUUGUUUUAGAUUAAAAUUUGAGGAAUUUCCUAUUUUUGAAUUAUUGAUUACACCGUAUACACCUGAUGGCAUCUUCGUCGACUUUUAACUUGUGCAUCAGGCGGUCAGUCUGUCUGCUAUUGAAAUUUGUUUGCUGUUACUGACACUGCAGCUGGGCAUUACGAUAUAUGUCAACUGUAAAGUAUUACAACCAUGUUCGUGCAGUAGGUUUUAUAUACGUAUAUUGUGCAUACGACAGCAAUGUAUGUUUUUACUGCAACUUCGUAGCGCGUAGCAUCGUACCAGUAACUUCCGAUCGUAACCAUUUAAUUUCUUUCUAUUUUGUUCCACAGUUGGCUUUUCUUUAAGUAUGUUAAAGCGAUGUUGACGAAGAGUCUAAGACGACGAAGUCAGCGUUUCUCCGAUAAUUCUGCAGAUGCUGCUUGGUGCACGAUGGUAUUGCUCCCUUAGCGCAACUCUGCAGUUUACAUGGUGCAAUCAAAGGACAAAUGUACGACAGAGCUGUUAGACUGUCCACGGAAUUGAAAUCCAAGUUGCCGGCUCAGCCUGAAGGAGGUGACUAAUCUACGAGUGAUUGAAGACCAGGUGGCUGGCCUCCUGACUGAAGAGGUCUACCGUUUUCAGAGGAACAGCACGAUGGAAGAGCGCCAGAACAUACAUCUUUUGUUCGCAGCAAAACAGGCGGAAGCAAGUCAUCCUGUUUUAUAGCAUUUUCUGAUUACUUCACGACAUAUAAUUAAUUAGAUUCGCUUUUCAUUUAGGCGAGAAACUGACUGCAAAAAUUAGUAUUUAAGAACAUUGGUUUUGGCAGUAUUUAUCUUUCUGUUAUUCUUGUAAUAGUUUUACUCUUACGUAAUAAAAGUGUAGAUUCAUGUCGACAACUGUUAUUAUUCAA